AUCUGUUUCAACUCUCCGCCGAGGGCGAGCGGGAGCGAGUGUGUGUCGGGUGAGUGUGCGUCUGUGUCCCAGCGAGGGUGCGCGCUCGGCGCCGGGAGCGCGGCCAGCCGGGUCUGGAGGCAUCGGGAGGCCGAGAGCCGCCGGGACCCCAGCUCUGCCUCCACUGCCCCGUCCCGAGCUGGACUUCGGGGCCGGGGCCGUGCGCCACGGACGGGCAGGACCGGGUCGCGGGCCGCGCGUCCCCCGAGCCGGAGAUCUGCGAGUAAAGAGGAACUAGGGACAAGAAACAGAGCCACAGACGCAACUUCAGACUCCUGCAUCCCGAAAGAAGGACCAGAUCAGCAAAGAAAAGAUGGGCUCUCCGAGCCUCAUGCUGUGCUUGCUGUCCGCAACUGUGUUCUCCCUGCUGGCUGGAAGCUCGGCCUUCCUGAAGUACUUCCCCAUAAGAGACAGGUUUCACAGGGAACGCAGGAACAUCCGCCCCAACAUCAUCCUGGUGCUGACGGACGACCAGGAUGUGGAGCUGGGUUCCAUGCAGGUGAUGAACAAGACCCGGCGCAUCAUGGAGCAGGGCGGGGCACACUUCAUCAACGCCUUCGUGACCACACCCAUGUGCUGCCCCUCACGCUCCUCCAUCCUCACCGGCAAGUACGUCCACAACCACAACACCUACACCAACAACGAGAACUGCUCCUCACCCUCCUGGCAGGCACAGCACGAGAGCCGCACCUUCGCCGUGUACCUCAACAACACCGGCUACCGGACAGCUUUCUUCGGGAAGUAUCUCAAUGAAUACAACGGCUCCUAUGUGCCGCCCGGCUGGAAGGAGUGGGUCGGACUCCUUAAAAACUCCCGCUUUUAUAACUACACACUCUGUCGGAACGGGGUGAAAGAGAAGCAUGGCUCUGACUACUCCAAGGAUUACCUCACAGACCUCAUCACCAACGACAGCGUGAGCUUCUUCCGCACAUCCAAGAAGAUGUACCCGCACAGGCCGGUCCUCAUGGUCAUCAGCCAUGCAGCGCCCCACGGCCCCGAAGAUUCAGCCCCACAGUAUUCAUGCCUCUUCCCCAACGCAUCUCAGCACAUCACGCCAAGCUACAACUACGCGCCCAACCCGGACAAACACUGGAUCAUGCGCUACACGGGGCCCAUGAAGCCCAUCCACAUGGAAUUCACCAACAUGCUGCAGCGGAAGCGCCUGCAGACCCUCAUGUCGGUGGACGACUCCAUGGAGACGAUUUACAACAUGCUGGUUGAGACGGGUGAGCUGGACAACACGUACAUCGUGUACACCGCCGACCAUGGCUACCACAUCGGCCAGUUUGGCCUCGUGAAGGGGAAGUCCAUGCCGUAUGAGUUCGACAUCAGGGUCCCAUUCUACGUGAGGGGCCCCAACGUGGAAGCUGGCUCUCUGAAUCCCCACAUCGUCCUCAACAUUGACCUGGCCCCCACCAUCCUGGACAUUGCAGGCCUGCAAAUACCUGAGGACAUGGACGGGAAAUCCAUCCUCAAGCUGCUGGACUUGGAACAGCCGAUGAAUCGGUUUCAUUUGAAAAAGCUGAAGGUCUGGCGGAACUCUUUCCUGGUGGAGAGAGGCAAACUGCUACACAAGAGAGACAGUGACAAGGUGGACGCCCAGGAGGAGAACUUCCUGCCCAGGUACCGGCGUGUGCAGGACCUGUGUCAGCGUGCCGAGUACCAGACAGCGUGCGAACAGCUGGGACAGAAGUGGCAGUGCGUGGAAGAUGCUACAGGGACGCUGAAGCUGCACAAAUGCAGGGAGCCCGUGCAGCUGGACGGCGGCAGAGCCCUCUCCAACCUCGUGCCCAAGUACUACGGGCAGGGCAGCGAGGCCUGCGUCUGCGACAACGAUGACUACAAGCUCAGCAUGGCCGAACGCCGGAGAAGGCUCUUCAAGAAGAGGUACAAGCCCAGCUAUAUUCGAUAUCGCUCCCUCCGCUCAGUGGCCAUUGAGGCAGAUGGCAGGGCGCACCACGUAGGCCUGGGUGAUGCUGCCCAGCCCCGAAACCUCACCAAGCGUCACUCGCCAGGGGCCCCUGAGAACCCAGACGACAAGGAUGGUGGGGACUUCAGUGGCACUGGAGGCCUUCCCAACUACGCCGCCACCAACCCCAUCAAAGUGACAAAUCGGUGCCACAUCCUGGAGAACUACACAGUCCGGUGUGACCUGGACCUGUACAAGUCCCUGCAGGCCUGGAAAGACCACAAGCUGCACAUCGACCACGAAAUUGAAACCCUGCAGAACAAAAUUAAGACCCUGAGAGAAAUCCGAGGUCACCUGAGGAAAAAGCGGCCAGAAGAAUGUGGCUGUCACAAAAUCAGCUACGACACCCAGCACAAAGACCACCUCAAGCACAAAGGCUCCAGCCUGCAUCCUUUCAGGAAGGGUCUGCAGGAGAAGGACAAGGUGUGGCUGUUGCGGGAGCAGAAGCGCAAGAAGAAACUCCGCAAGCUGCUCAAGCGCCUGCAGAACAACGACACGUGCAGCAUGCCAGGCCUCACGUGCUUCACACACAACAACCAGCACUGGCAGACAGCGCCCUUCUGGACCCUGGGGCCAUUCUGCGCCUGCACCAGCGCCAACAAUAACACAUACUGGUGCAUGAGGACCAUCAACGAGACUCACAACUUCCUCUUCUGUGAAUUUGCCACGGGCUUCCUGGAGUACUUCGAUCUCAACACGGACCCCUACCAGCUUAUGAACUCAGUGAACACGCUGGACAGGGGUGUCCUCAACCAGCUACACAUACAGCUCAUGGGGCUGAGGAGCUGCAAGGGUUACAAGCAGUGUAACCCCUGGACUCGAGACAUGGACCUGGGACUUAAAGAUGGAAGAGGCUAUGAGCAACACAGGAUGUUUCAGCGUCGGAAGUGGCCAGGAAUGAGGAGACCUUCUUCCAGAUCACCGGGACGACUGUGGGAAGGCUGGGAAGGUUAAGAAACAACAGAGGUGGACCUCCAAAAACAGAGGCGCCACCUGACUGCACAGGCAACGAAAAAGCAUGUGGGUGAUUUCCAGCAGGCCUCUGCUGAUGGCCAGGCGGCUUGAGAAAGCAAGCCCUCACUCUCAGCCAACAUGGCAGAUUCUGGAGGAUAACCAGCAGGAGGCAGAGAGAACUUCAGGAAGUCUAUUUUUGCCCCUGCUUUUGCUUUGGAUUAUACCUCACCAGCUGCACAAAAUACAUUUUUCCCUAUCAAAAAGUUCACCACUAACCUUCCCCCAGAAGCUCACAAAGGAAAAUGAAGAGAGUGAGUGAGAGAUUUCCUUGGAAAUUUCCCUCCCCCAAGGGUGAAAGUCAUUGGAAUUUUUAAAUCAUAGGGGAAAAACAGUCCUGUUCUAAAUCCUCUUAUUCUUUGAGUUUGUCACAAAGAAGGAACUAAGACGCAGAAGAGAGGCAACGUGGAGAGGCUGAAAACUGCAGAGAGUUCGACAGUGAGUCAGUAGCACAAAAGAGAUGACACUUAGCACCAUAAACCCCGGUUGCCUCUGAAGAAACUGCCUUCACUGUAUAUAUGUGACUAUUUACAUGUAACCAACAUGGGAACUUUUAGGGGAACCUAAUAAGAAAUCCCCAUUUUCAGGAGUGGUGGUGUCAAUAAACGCUCUGUGGCCAGUGUAAAAGAAAAUCCCUCACAGUUGUGGACAUUUCUGUUCCUGUCCAGAUACCAUUUCUCCUAGUAAUUUCUUUGUUAUGUUCCAGAACUGAUGUUAUUUUUAAGAAGUUGAUGUAUGUCCCAAGUUUUGAUCAAAAACUGUAUUUGUAAAAAAAAAGAAAAAUUUUGUAGUGUAAGUAUUGUCAUACAAUGUUCAAAACCCCAGCCAAUGACCAGCAGUUGGUAUGAAGAAACCUUUGACAUUUUGUAAAAGGCCAUUUCUCGGGAGUUUUUUUUUUUUUUUUUUUUUUUCUUGGUGUGUCUGUCUGUUUUUUUUUUUUUUAAGUAUUCAAGAUACUGCCAAUCAACACCUUUUUGGAAGAAAAUGCCUUGGGUUUAGAACAUUUUUUUAAAAGGGGAGUAGACGGUUGUAGAUUAAUGACUAAAGUCUACCAUACUUCAAGGGACUUCACAGGUAAGUCUCAAACCAGCAGCUUUGGGACUUUUUUUUAAAAAAAGUAUUAAUUGCAAAGCAAUUCACCUUGGCCAACCCUUCUUUGUGUAUCAGGUGGUGUAACCUGAUCCAAGUAGUUGUCAGAUUUCCAGAAUGGGAAAAGUAGAAACUAUCACCAGUGCAGCCCAUUUCUCAUUUAACACAUGACAGAGAUGAUAAUCCCCAAAGUACUCACAUUUUUUUCAAUGCCCCACAUUAGGCCACCACUCCCUGGCAGCACCCUAAGCUGUGCUUUAAACCUCUCAAACGGUUACCAUUAUUCGAAACAGGCUUCCUUAACCUCUUUUACCCUUAAUCCAACAGGGAUAUAUUUUUAAAAAUGCUCUUUAGGCUCCAAUUUUAAAUAGAAACCUUUAUUUACAAUGACAUCCAAAAUGGUCAGCAAAGCAGUCGAAGCUUACCAUUCCCCAUAAGUCAUUCAUAUGGUUUCGAUUCUUUGCAGAAUAAAGAAUUUCUGUUUUUAAAGUAACACAAUGUAAACUUGAUUGAAACUGAAUUCAUUCUCAAGAGUAUAAGUCAAUUCCUGAGAAUUUAAAUAUUGCUCUCAGAAUGACAUUUCCAUCUUCUUUGAAAUUCCAUAUAUUAGAGGGAGAGAAAACACCCUGCUUGUCUGUAUCAACAAGUGUGCCUUGGAGUUGAAAACAACUCUUGUUCCUCUGAUUACAUCAAAUCCUUGAGGUUUCCUAUGAACCUCCUAAUUGCGAACAAAACUCACAGCUUCUGCAAAUAAAAAGGGAACUGGGCAGUUAUACAUGUAACCAGCAAUCCAUUCUGUUCACUUUCAGCUGCCUCUACCUCUGGAUCAAAGAACUUCUAGGACAUCAAGCCAAUUAUCUUCUGUAAUACCCUACCCCUAAUACAGAUACCCCCCAACUCACCUUAGAUAUUAAACACUGAUAAACUAAGUAGCACUGUUGUUGAUAUUUACACCUUUCAAUCCAGAUGCAGUUUAGAAAAGUGGCAUCAUAAUAUGAACAUUAACAAUGUAACUUCCAUUUAUUUUUUUAAAGGAAGAAACAUGUAUCUCCUUUAUAUCUUUCUGAUCUUUUUAUAAAACAUAUAUAUUUUUUAUUUAUAUAUCUUUGGAUUCAGCAAAAAUAAAAAAAGUAGGUACUGGAAAUAUCCCACAUUCUAAAAGCAGAUGAAAAGAUUAUUCUGUUCACCCAACAGAUACGAAGGUUUGAAAAAAUGGGAGGUGCGGGGGUGUGAGGAGAGGUAGACAGCAGGAGUACAAAGAAUUAUCUAAAAAAGAUAAAGGGCAAUACAGGUAAAAACAAAUUAUCUCAAAGACUGCACCUAGUAAAAGAAAAUAUCUUGAGUUUGCACCAAUCAAAUGAACAAGUAGAAAAUAUAAAAACUUAUAAUAAACUUCAUUUUUCCACUAUAUAAAAAAGGGAGUGCUGCCUUCCAGUAAGCCUGGAGCCAGGUUUAAGGAAUUUUUUAAAGUCAAGAAAGGUAAGAGCACCAAUCUAUUUCUCCCCACACACAUAACUCAAAGAAGGUUCAGACGCAAUUGACCUGAAAUACAUGAGACAGACUAACUGGGCUGUGCCUCUGUCUCCACACAGGAGCACACACCAUCUGGAAAGCGCAGGCCACUACCAUGGAAGUUUUGGGAUUUACACUCUUAGAUGUGGUUUGAACUUGGUGGGGGGAAGAAGGCAAACUCAUAAUUGUCUACACUGUUUUGAAAAUCCACUCUAGUGGUGGGUCUGGAAAUACCAGGAUUCACUUAUUUGUAAGCAUAUCAAAGAUAUUAAAUGAUCUUACCUUCAGAGACAUCUAGAAAGAUUGGCUAAAUGUGUGAAACUUUACAAAAAAAUUAAUGGCUCUCAGUUAUUGCUAGAAAAUGACACCAAGGCUAGCAGAGACCUUUGAAAUUCAUAGACAUUCAAAAACCCAAUUCUUUCAACUAUUUGGACCAAAUGAAGUAACCCAGAUAAAGGGAAUUAAAUUUGGUUUUUCCCUUACUCCCAACUGACUAAAAUAGUUGUCAAAGGGAGGCAAGAGCAGAAAGUGGCCAGGGGCAGAAGAGGGAGGGGUUUAAAAGGUGCUCAAUUAGACUGGUUCUCAAUCACAGUAAAACUGACUGUUCUGGGUACUGAGUUCCUUAAGAAGUAACAGUGACACUAUUCUAAUUCACAGGGAUAUUAUGAAAGAAUCACAUUAGUAGAAUGAGGGAUAGCUGAGCAGACACCAGAAACCACACCAAGAUUCUACUCAAGAUCUCAAUGUGGGAUUCAGGUCUUAGCAACCGAAACCCAAGAACACUCCUAAAGGGGAUGAAAAGCUGUUGGACAUCAAUGACAGUUCCUGGAGGUGAAGUAUUACAGGACAUGAGCGGCAAAUGAAAACCUUCAUUAGGAGAAAGCCUAGGACAACAAAUAACAGAGAAAGAGCAACUCAACACCAUCAGGAAAGGCCAAUUCAGAAUCACCAAGUCCACUGGACAAAGGGUCAACACAGAACUACUUGGUAGUGACAAGAACACUUGAAGGCUGGGACUAUGCUCUUAGUCCAAUACUGCAACUAGCAAAAGCAGAUGUUCUAAUCUCUAAUUUCUUCCAAUGUUCUCUGGCCCACCUACAUGGAUUUAAAAGACUUUGGCUAGCAAGGCAGAAAAAAGUGACACAAAAGUUUUAUGAUCAGUAACACGCCACAUUUCCAGAAUUAUAUCCCUAGGAGGUGGAAUGCCAAAAACAUUUCUUUUUGAACACCAUGAUAUGUAGGAGCGCGGGGGGAAAUACGCAGAUACUGCAGUUCGGCUUAAAAUCCAGUCCUGCUCGAAUGACAUCAGUUAAAAUGCCCUUGACAGAGCUCAAAGCUGGCUUUCUUCAAAAAUGGAUGCCCGGAACAUGGUAUCUUCCCAAUAAUCCUAGUGCAGUGUCAUUUGUACAGUGGUUUCCUUAGAGGUCCUGGUGCAGAGACGUCAGCAGUAUUUCUGUUAGCAACCAGAAAAAAGCUGGGUAAAACACAUGCUUUGCACAACAAAAAAAUGUCCAUGUCCACAUUCAUGGCUUUUCAGGUUCCUUAGAUCCCAUAUUACCAAAAGUAUCUAGUGGCCCAAUACCUUCAAACCAAUGGGUUUUUUAAAUUACUGUAGUUUUAAGUUAUAAAUUCAAGUUAAAAUAUACCUAGGACCUUUUGAUUAUAGCUGAGGCUUUGGUUCUAACCACAGAACAAGACAAACUUUUUGAAAAUGGUAAGCAACAGACCCCAUACCUGAUCAGGACCCAUAGGCAUGCCGGACAUGGGCAUGGGGUUCAUGGUCAUUGGCCCCAUGUGGCCGCUGCUGCCGUUCAUGUGCACCAUACUAUACACUGCAGGAUUCCCCUGGUGGGCAAACUGCUGCUGGGAAAAGGAGCUGUGAAGAAACUGUAAUGUUACCUCUGGAAGGCAUUUUGGCAACAAAGGGCAUGCCCACAGAAACUAUCACAAUUGUGCCAAACAUUGCUAUACUGAAGCUGGGAAUGUCAGAGAGAAAACUCCCUGACAGCCUGUGAUCCAUUUUUCACAGCUUUCUGUACUCGAUACCCUAAUAGAUGUGUGCAUGGUAUGAAGGACUCUCAAAAUGGACAAGCCAAAGAACACAUCUUCUAAUAUAAAUCCAGUCCUUUCAAUCUCUCCAUCCAAAAAGGCUUGACUGAAAAAUAUAGUAAUUCUUGGACUUCUGGGACUAAGAUGUGACUAACUUUAGAAGUACUAUUCUUUACCUGUUCCUGGCCAAAUUUCCUGAAGGCCAGCCCUUCAUUUCUGAGGACUGAUACAUGGAUGCAGCCUGGGGGUGUUGCAUCAUGGGAUUCUGGGAGGGACCCAUUCUUGACGACAUCAUUGCAUUGGGAGGACUAGACACUCGACCAAAGCCUGGAUCUGGUGGUUGUCCAAUUCCUUACAAAAACAAAGAAAAAAGAAAUAAAAAUGUCCAAAUGCCUUCUCCUUA